GACGAACGCUGGCGGCGUGCUUAACACAUGCAAGUCGAACGGAAAGGCCCUGCUUUUGUGGGUUUCUCGAGUGGCGAACGGGUGAGUAACACGUGAGUAACCUGCCCUUGACUUUGGGAUAACUUCAGGAAACUGGGGCUAAUAUCGGAUAGGAGCUCCUGCUGCAUGGUGGGGGUUGGAAAGUUUCGGCGGUUGGGGAUGGACUCGCGGCUUAUCAGCUUGUUGGGGGGGUAGUUGCUGACCAAGUCUUUGACGGGUAGCCGGCCUGAGAGGGUUAACGGCCACAUGGGGACUAAGAGACGCCCCAGAAGCGAACGGGCGGCAGCAGGGGGGAAUAUUACGCAGUGGGGGGAAGCCUGAUGUAGAAACGCCGCGAGCGGGAUGACCGGCUUUGAGGUGUAAACAGCUUUGGAAGGAAACGAAGAGGGAGUGACGGUAACGGGUAAAAAAGCCACGGCUAACUACGUG
rnacentral:rRNA from 1 species